AACACGGACCAAGGAGUCUAGAAUGUGCGCGAGUCAAAGGGCUGGCUAAACCCCAAGGCGUAACGAAAGUGAAUGGGAGAAGGAAGGUUGCAGUAGGAGAGAGGGCUCGCCCCCGCUCCUACUACGUACCCUAAUCCUCCUCCCUUGGGCCGAUCCGGUUUCGGCUCUCGCAGUCGAAUUUGCCUCAUAUUAACACAUAGGAGGACGGCGCAGGCCCGGGGCUCGCCAGCUUCCUCCCCGCCGCUAACGCUAACGUCGGCUGUCUAGGGUCGUUUUGGUUCGGAACCUUCUCCGUCCGUUAACUCGGCGCCGUUUCUCGUCGUCCCUCGGGGCGUCGGUUUUUCUGCGUCGUUUGACGGGUGGAUCAAGAAGGAAUUCGACGCGACUCCGGACGUCGGCUCGCGGGCGGGGACGAGCGGCGGGUACCUCGAGCGUACAUUCUAGUACCCGAAAGAUGGUGAUCUAUGCCUGGCCAGGAUGAAGCCAGAGGAAACUCUGGUGGAGGUCCGUAGCGGAUUCUGGACGUGCAAAUCGAUCGUCGGAGC
rnacentral:rRNA from 1 species